rnacentral:rRNA from 1 species
UACGGGGAGGGCUAGUGUUAUUCAGCGUAAUUGGGCGUAAAGGGCAUCUAGGCGGUUUAAUAAGUUCGUAAUUAAAAACUACAGCUCAACUGUAUGUAUGUUACUGAAAACUAUUGGGCUUGAGUAUAAAGGAAGAUAGCGGUACUUUUAAAGUAAAGAUAAAAUUUUUCUAUAAUAAAAGGACCACCAACAGGCGAAGGCGGCUAUCUAUUUUAUUACUGACGCUGACGUGCAAAAGCGUGGGGAGCAAACAGG